UACGGGGGGGUAAGCGUUGUUCGGAAUUACUGGGCGUAAAGUGUGCGCAGGCGGCCGAGCAAGUCGAGUGUGAAAGCCCCGGGCUUAACUUGGGAAUUGCGCUCGAAACUACUUGGCUGGAGUGUGGCAGAGGAAGGUGGAAUUCCAGGUGUAGCGGUGAAAUGCGUAGAGAUCUGGAGGAACACCGAUGGCGAAGGCAGCCUUCUGGGCCAACACUGACGCUGAGGCGCGAAAGCGUGGGGAGCAAACAGG
rnacentral:rRNA from 1 species